rnacentral:rRNA from 1 species
UAAAUUGAGAGUUUGAUCCUGGCUCAGGACGAACGCUGGCGGCGUGCUUAACACAUGCAAGUCGAGCGAGGAAAUUCCUUCGGGGAUUUCCUAGCGGCGGACGGGUGAGUAACACGUGGGCAACCUGCCUGAUAGAGGGGGAUAGCCUCCCGAAAGGGAGAUUAAUACCGCAUAAAGUCAAAUGAAGGCAUCUUCAAAUGACCAAAGGAGUAAUCCGCUAUCAGAUGGGCCCGCGGCGCAUUAGCUAGUUGGUGAGGUAACGGCUCACCAAGGCGACGAUGCGUAGCCGACCUGAGAGGGUGAUCGGCCACAUUGGGACUGAGACACGGCCCAGACUCCUACGGGAGGCAGCAGUGGGGAAUAUUGCACAAUGGGGGAAACCCUGAUGCAGCAACGCCGCGUGAGUGAUGAAGGCCUUCGGGUUGUAAAGCUCUGUCUUCAGGGACGAUAAUGACGGUANNNNNNNNNNCAACCCUUAUUGUUAGUUGCUACCAUUUAGUUGAGCACUCUAGCAAGACUGCCGUGGUUAACGCGGAGGAAGGUGGGGAUGACGUCAAAUCAUCAUGCCCCUUAUGUCUAGGGCUACACACGUGCUACAAUGGCGAGUACAAAGAGACGCAAAGCCGCGAGGUGGAGCAAAACUUAUAAAACUCGUCUCAGUUCGGAUUGCAGGCUGAAACUCGCCUGCAUGAAGCUGGAGUUGCUAGUAAUCGCGAAUCAGAAUGUCGCGGUGAAUACGUUCCCGGGCCUUGUACACACCGCCCGUCACACCAUGAGAGUUGGCAAUACCCGAAGUCCGUAGCCUAACCUUUUAGGAGGGCGCGGCCGAAGGUAGGGUCAGCGAUUGGGGUGAAGUCGUAACAAGGUAGCCGUAGGAGAACCUGCGGCUGGAUCACCUCCUUU